rnacentral:rRNA from 1 species
CCUACGGGUGGCAGCAGUGAGGAAUAUUGGUCAAUGGGCGCGAGCCUGAACCAGCCAAGUCGCGUGAGGGAAGACGGUCCUAUGGAUUGUAAACCUCUUUUGUCGGGGAGCAAAAGACACCACGUGUGGCGUUCCGAGAGUACCCGAAGAAAAAGCAUCGGCUAACUCCGUGCCAGCAGCCGCGGUAAUACGGAGGAUGCGAGCGUUAUCCGGAUUUAUUGGGUUUAAAGGGUGCGCAGGCGGAAGAUCAAGUCAGCGGUAAAAUUGAGAGGCUCAACCUCUUCGAGCAAUUGAAACUGGUUGUCUUGAGUGAGCGAGAGGUAUGCGGAAUGCGUGGUGUAGCGGUGAAAUGCAUAGAUAUCACGCAGAACUCCGAUUGCGAAGGCAGCAUACCGGCGCUCAACUGACGCUCAUGCACGAAAGUGUGGGUAUCGAACAGGAUUAGAUACCCUUGUAGUC